CCUACGGGAGGCAGCAGUGGGGAAUAUUGGGCAAUGGAGGAAACUCUGACCCAGCGACGCCGCGUGCGGGAUGAAGGCCUUCGGGUUGUAAACCGCUUUCAGUAGGGAAGAAGCGAAAGUGACGGUACCUACAGAAGAAGCACCGGCUAACUAUGUGCCAGCAGCCGCGGUAAUACAUAGGGUGCAAGCGUUGUCCGGAAUUAUUGGGCGUAAAGAGCUCGUAGGUGGUUCGUCACGUCGGAUGUGAAAAUCUGGGGCUCAACCCCAGACCUGCAUUCGAUACGGGCGAUCUAGAGUGUGGUAGGGGAGACUGGAAUUCCUGGUGUAGCGGUGGAAUGCGCAGAUAUCAGGAGGAACACCAAUGGCGAAGGCAGGUCUCUGGGCCAUUACUGACACUGAGGAGCGAAAGCGUGGGGAGCGAACAGGAUUAGAUACCCUGGUAGUCCACGCCGUAAACGGUGGGCACUAGUUGUGGGAACCUUCCACGGUUUCUGCGACGCAGCUACGCAUAAGUGCCCGCCGUCGGGAGGUACGAGUCGCGAAGAAUUAAAACGUUAAAAGGUAAGUUAGACGGCGUGAGACGUGCCGACGGACGACCGACGAGGGAGGUAGG
rnacentral:rRNA from 1 species